GACGAACGCUGGCGGCGCGCCUAACACAUGCAAGUCGAACGGAGCUGAGAGAAGCUUGCUUUUCUUAGCUUAGUGGCGAACGGGUGAGUAACGCGUGAGUAACCUGCCCUGGAGUGGGGGACAACAGUUGGAAACGACUGCUAAUACCGCAUAAGCCCACGAUCCGGCAUCGGAUUGAGGGAAAAGGAUUUAUUCGCUUCAGGAUGGACUCGCGUCCAAUUAGCUAGUUGGUGAGGUAACGGCCCACCAAGGCGACGAUUGGUAGCCGGACUGAGAGGUUGAACGGCCACAUUGGGACUGAGACACGGCCCAGACUCCUACAGGAGGCAGCAGUGGGGGAUAUUGCACAAUGGGGGAAACCCUGAUGCAGCGACGCCGCGUGGAGGAAGAAGGUUUUCGGAUUGUAAACUCCUGUCGUUAGGGACGAUAAUGACGGUACCUAACAAGAAAGCACCGGCUAACUACGUG
rnacentral:rRNA from 1 species